rnacentral:rRNA from 1 species
GACGAACGCUGGCGGCGUGCUUAACACAUGCAAGUCGAACGGGUCUGCCCUGUUUUUUGCGGGGUGGGUCAGUGGCGAACGGGUGAGUAACACGUGAGUAACCUGCCCCUCACUUCUGGAUAACCGCUUGAAAGGGUGGCUAAUACGGGGUGUUCUGGCUGUGCCGCAUGGUGUGGCUGGGAAAGAUUCACUUUUGUGGUGUUUUGGUGGGGGAUGGGCUCGCGGCCUAUCAGCUUGUUGGUGGGGUGAUGGCCUGCCAAGGCUUUGACGGGUAGCCGGCCUGAGAGGGUGGGCGGUCACACUGGGACUGAGAUACGGCCCAGAAGCCGGCGGGAGGCAGCAGUGGGGGGUAUUGCACAAUGGGCGGAAGACUGAUGCAGCGACGUCGCGUGAGGGAUGGAGGCCUUCGGGUUGUGAACCUCUUUCGCCGGUGAAGAAGGUCCUGCUCUUUGUGGUGGGGUUGACGGUAGCCGGGUUAUGAAGCGCCGGCUAACUACGU